AUGGCGGGCCACCUCGUGCUCUACAACGGCGCCAAGAUGCCCAUCCUCAGGCUGGGCACCUGGAAGUCCCCCUGGAAGGCCAAGUGACCGAGGCUGUGAAGGUGGCCAUCGACGUUGGUUACCACCACAUCGACUGUGCCCACGUGUACCACAAUGAGAAUGAGGUGGGGGUAGCCAUUCAGGAGAAGCUCAAGGAGCAGGUGGUGAAGCGUGAGGAGCUGUUCAUCGUCAGCAAGCUGUGGUGCACAUACAAUGAGAAGGGCCUGGUGAAAGGAGCCUGCCUGAAGACGCUCAGCUACCUGAAACUGGACUACCUGGACCUCUACCUUAUUCACUGGCCAACUGGCUUUAAGCCUGGGAAGGAAUUUUUCCCAUUGGAUGAGUCAGGCAAUGUGAUUCCCAGUGACACCAACAUUCUGGACACGUGGGCAGCCAUAGAAGAACUGGUGGAUGAAGGGCUGGUGAAAGCUAUUGGCAUCUCCAACUUCAACCAUCUCCAGGUGGAGAGGAUCUUAAACAAACCUGGCUUAAAGUAUAAGCCUGCAGUUAACCAGAUUGAGUGCCACCCAUACCUCACUCAGGAGAAGUUAAUCCAGUACUGCCAGUCCAAAGGCAUCGUGGUGACCGCCUACAGCCCCCUAGGCUCUCCCGACAGGCCCUGGGCCAAGCCCGAGGACCCUUCCCUCCUGGAGGAUCCCAGGAUCAAGGCGAUUGCAGACAAGCACAAUAAAACCACAGCUCAGGUGCUGAUCUGGUUCCCCAUGCAGAGGAACUUGGUGGUGAUCCCCAAGUCUGUGACACCAGAACGCAUUGCUGAGAACUUUAAGGUCUUUGACUUUGAACUGAGCAGCGAGGAUAUGACCACCUUACUCGGCUACAACAGGAACUGGAGGGUCUGUGCCUUGGUGAGCACUGUCUCCCACAAGGAUUACCCCUUCCAUGAAGAGUUUUGAAGCUGUGGAUGCCUGCUCAUCCCUGAGUGACCUAUACCUGUUUCCUGACUCAU